UCAAGCUUCCAAGCUCGAUUAGCAAGGAAAACUAAAAUUCGGGCUAAAAUGGGGAAAAUACCAAGUUGUGGACGAAAUGGUAAAAGUAGCCAUUUUCGCAUACGAGUGUUGACAAGCCAGCUCAGAAAUCGGAAACGGUCGGAGGCACGCUCACACUAUCCGUAUACCAUCUUGGCAUAAUGGCUUGUAUAUUUUGAGUAUGGCAUGUAUAGCAUUAUAAUCAUUUUGUGUAUAUGGUCUUAUGAUAUGGUUAUUGAGUGGUAUGGAAA